rnacentral:rRNA from 1 species
UACGUAGGGGGCUAGCGUUGUCCGGAUUUAUUGGGCGUAAAGAGCGUGUAGGCGGCCAGGUAGGUCUGGUGUGAAAACUCGAGGCUUAACCUCGAGAUGUCAUCGGAAACCAUUUGGCUAGAGUCCGGAAGAGGAAAGUGGAAUUCCUGGUGUAGCGGUGAAAUGCGCAGAUAUCAGGAAGAACACCAAUGGCGAAAGCAGCUUUCUGGGACGGUACUGACGCUGAGGCGCGAAGGCCAGGGGAGCAAACGGG